rnacentral:rRNA from 1 species
GACGUAGGGCGCGAGCGUUGUCCGGAUUUAUUGGGCGUAAAGAGCUCGUAGGCGGCUUGUUGCGUCGUCCGUGAAAACCUGUGGCUUAACUACAGGCUUGCGGUCGAUACGGGCGGGCUGGAGUUCGGUAGGGGAGACUGGAAUUCCUGGUGUAGCGGUGAAAUGCGCAGAUAUCAGGAGGAACACCGGUGGCGAAGGCAGCUUGCUGGGACGUUACUGACGCUAAGGCGCGAAAGCGUGGGGAGCGAACAGG